AUACGGAGGGUGCAAGCGUUACUCGGAAUCACUGGGCGUAAAGCGCGUGCAGGCGGCUUGAUAAGUUGGAUGUGAAAGCCUACGGCUUAACCGUAGAACUGCAUCCAAAACAGUCAAGCUAGAGUCUGGGAGGGGAAGAUGGAAUUAGUUGUGUAGGGGUAAAAUCCGUAGAGAUAACUAGGAAUACCAAAAGCGAAGGCGAUCUUCUGGAACAGUACUGACGCUGAGGCGCGAAAGCGUGGGGAGCAAACAGGAUUAGAAACCCUGGUAGUCC
rnacentral:rRNA from 1 species